rnacentral:rRNA from 1 species
CUGCGGAAGGAUCAUUACCGAGUGAGGGCCCUCUGGGUCCAACCUCCCACCCGUGUUUAUCGUACCUUGUUGCUUCGGCGGGCCCGCCUCACGGCCGCCGGGGGGCAUCCGCCCCCGGGCCCGCGCCCGCCGAAGACACCAAUGAACUCUUGUCUGAAGAUUGCAGUCUGAGCAGAUUAGCUAAAUCAGUUAAAACUUUCAACAACGGAUCUCUUGGUUCCGGCAUCGAUGAAGAACGCAGCGAAAUGCGAUAAGUAAUGUGAAUUGCAGAAUUCAGUGAAUCAUCGAGUCUUUGAACGCACAUUGCGCCCCCUGGUAUUCCGGGGGGCAUGCCUGUCCGAGCGUCAUUGCUGCCCUCAAGCACGGCUUGUGUGUUGGGCUUCGCCCCCCGGCUCCCGGGGGGCGGGCCCGAAAGGCAGCGGCGGCACCGCGUCCGGUCCUCGAGCGUAUGGGGCUUUGUCACCCGCUCUGUAGGCCCGGCCGGCGCCCGCCGGCGACCCCAAAUCAAUCUAUCCAGGUUGACCUCGGAUCAGGUAGGGAUACCCGCUGAACUUAAGCAUAUCAAUAAGACGGAGGA